CCUGACGGCUCAGAGUGUAAAGCGUCUGCCUGCAAUGCGGGAGACCCUGGUUCGAUCCCUGGGUCAGGA
rnacentral:tRNA from 1 species